UACGUAGGUGGCAAGCGUUGUCCGGAUUUAUUGGGUUUAAAGGGUGCGUAGGCGGUCUUAUAAGUCAGUGCUGAAAUAUCCCGGCUUAACCGGGAGGGUGGCAUUGAUACUGUAGGACUUGAGUAAAGUUGAGGUUGGCGGAAUUGACGGUGUAGCGGUGAAAUGCUUAGAUAUCGUCAGGAACACCCAGGGGGAAACCAGCCGACUGGGCAAGUGCUGACGCUGAGGUGCGAGAGCGUGGGGAGCGAACCGG
rnacentral:rRNA from 1 species